GAGCCGUUAGCUCAGCUGGUAGAGCAUCGGCCUUUUAAGCCGAGGGUCGCAGGUUCGACUCCUGCACGGCUCA
rnacentral:tRNA from 3 species